ACAUGCAUGACAUCUUUUUUCGCAUCAAUUUUUUUGACAGAUUGACGAUUUGGCGAUGUCGACGAAAGUACUCUGACAAGCAUAAACAUGUUCUGACUGGAUCUAAGAAUUAGUUAAAAGUGUUGAAAAAAUACAAAAUCAAAUAGGAGCAAAACAAAAUGUCAUACGCCGAGUACCGGCCCAGCAGUGGAAACAUGGUUCGAUGCCAGGCAUGGCACCGAUCUUGUCAUUGUAAAUACUAGCAAUCACAUUUAUCAUCCGAUUUCGGUGGGUGGAUUAGAAGGCGGACGGAAAAUGUCAUGAACCCGGCGGGCUAUGCCGGAAAAUGGAGGGCAAGUAACCGGUCAGCGAUCGUGGAAGCAAUCCUCCUUGCAGAAGAGAAUGAAACGUCAAGUAAUAAAAAGGUGGAGGAGGACGAAAAAAACUCCCGGCAGCGAUCCUGAUCCGCCAAAAAUUGUUAUCAAUGGAACUGAGUGCUUUUUGCUGGACGUGGACCAGCAAGUAGAGAAGGACAAUGAAAUUGCGUUGGUGGUGUUGAACUUCUAGCGGAAUGGCAAAAGCGCCAUUAUCAAGAACUCAUUCUUCUUCCUGGAGAUACUUUCGGUCGAGAAUAUCCUCCAGGUGAAGGCGAUGGAGGGGGACAAAUUACAGCACUCGAACAUUGGCAGGGUAGACAAACAGAACCCUUCCCACAGCGGUUGGCCAUCGUCGAACCAAAAGAAGUCGGUUUGUAUUUCCUUCUUUUAACAGACCUAGGAAAGUCCAGCGGAAUCGAAGGCAACCGGAGUAGCCGCCAUUGAGCGAAAUUAGGAAAACUGUGGCUGCAGUGACAGUGAAUAAUUCAAAACAAUGUGCCAGACUAGUGCAAACUAUUAAAAAUGAAUAAAAAUAAUCCAAAAGUUCAA